UUAAUUUAAUUAAUAUUAUUUUGACAUACAAUAAUGAUAAUAAUUUUAAAAGAUAAUUGUUGUACAUGUCUCCAUCUUCAACAAAAUAACAUACAAAUAAAAAAGUAGAUAAAAAUUUGUAGUGGGUGAGAUAUUGUGAUGCAACAAAAUAACAUAACAAAUAAAAAAGUAGAAAAAAAAUCUGUAGUGGGUGAGAUGAGUGUGAUGGAAAGAGAUGAAUAUAUGAAACAGAUGAAUAUGAGAAAAAUAAUAAAGAUGAAGAAGUGUAAAUGAAAUAAAUAAAUAUAAAUGAAUUAUAUAAGUGCAAAUGAAUGAGAUGAACAUAGAUAAAACAUAUAAUGUGGACAAAAGAGAUGAAAGUAGAACUCUUGGAUCAAAACUCGCGGAUCAACUUAAUUUGUCAUGAAUUCCAGUUAAAUUGGGUUUGAAAAAAUUUAUUUGUUUUAUGUAGAUAAUAUUUCAACUUGAGUCGUUU
rnacentral:lncRNA from 1 species